GCCAAAGUCAACUUAGAUAAAAGCAAUGACUAUGUAGAUCAAAACGCGCACAAAGCACAUGUAUAAUCACUGAGUCAGUUGGCAUCAGCUGUUUAUGAGGUAUUGUGUAGGAAGCCUGUUCAUAUGUAGUGUAUACAAUUAUGGGCCAUUAUUGUUAAAAAAAUUAUAAAGGAAAAGUUAAUUAUUGAAAAAAAAAAUAGAAACUUCUGUUCAAA
rnacentral:misc_RNA from 1 species